rnacentral:rRNA from 1 species
UACGGGGGGGGGCAAGCGUUGUUCGGAAUUACUGGGCGUAAAGGGCUCGUAGGCGGCCAACUAAGUCAGACGUGAAAUCCCUCGGCUUAACCGGGGAACUGCAUCUGAUACUGGAUGGCUUGAGUUCGGGAGAGGGAGUGCGGAAUUCCAGGUGUAGCGGUGAAAUGCGUAGAUAUCUGGAGGAACACCGGGUGGCGAAGGCGGCAUCCUGGACCGACACUGACGCUGAGGAGCGAAAACGUGGGGGAGCAAA